CCAAUCACUGACGUCCAUUCAGUGGAUAUACAUUAAGUGCCGACUUCAUAAACAAACGAUUCUUCGUUUUAUUUGCUUUUUUCAUUUUAAAUUUGCUUUAACCCUAACCCUAACCCUAACCGUAGGGUUAGGGUUAGGGUUAGGGUUAAUUGUUUCAGAAUCGUUUGUUUAUGUAGUCGGCACUUAAUGUAUAUCGGCUGAAUGGACGUCAGUGAUUGGUUGAAAUUACAGAAAUACGACAACUUUAACAUGGAAUAAUUUAUGGAUUUCUUUUUUUUUAAAGAUGUUUUAAAGAUGUUUUAAAGAUGUUUUAAAGAUGUUUUAUAUGACACAUUCUACCAGUGUUCCAAGUUUCAAAGUGUUUCGUUAAUGAAAAAUGUGGCCCCCGUUUUAAAAAAGAUCCAUCGUUUCUACUAUAGGAUCAAGGCCUGAAGUUUGGGACAGUGGGAUAUUGGAUGACUUUGUUAUUCAAGAAUUAUAUAUUACCUCGGAUUUAUCAUCUUUUAAAGAUUAACAGCACGUGAUAAAGAACAGAUAUUCCAAUCAUUAUCAUCGUUUAACGUCCGCUUUCCAUGCUGGCAUGGGUUGUCCGAUUUCAUAAAGAGCUGGCCGGGCAGAAAACUACACCAGACUUCUGUGUUUGUUUUGGCAUGAUUCUUUACGGUUGAGUGUCCUCCAUUAACUCACAGCUUUCAAAUUUUGAUGAUGUGAUUGUGUAUUUUCAAAAUGACAUUGUCGGGUAGGUGUAAGAGGCUGAGUCUGGCUACUUUAAACUUAAAAUAGGUAGAAUAUUUGGGCCAGAUAUGGCUGGUUUAAAUGCUAAAGGGUUAACUAAAUGUGUAUCUAUUCAUAUAGAUGUGUGACUAUCAAUGUGACAAUUCAUAAGAACAAUAAGCAUUUUUUUGGCCUCCUCCUAAAUUGGUGUUUGUGUUGUGGGCAUUUUCCCUGGCAAUAAUGAAGCUAUAAGGAACACUCUCUACAACUGUAUAUAGAUAUUCAUACAGAAAUGGAGAUAGAACAGUGUGAUAACAGCCUCCCAACUCUAUAGUUUAUGUCACCACAUCUCAGGUAACUUACCUGUGACAUUUUUUUUCUUUGUUUGUAAUAAAAGCAAUUUUUUCCAGAUUUUGAA